rnacentral:rRNA from 1 species
UACGAAGGGUGCAAGCGUUACUCGGAAUUACUAGGCGUAAAGCGUGCGUAGGUGGUUUGUUAAGUCUGCUGUGAAAGCCCCGGGCUCAACCUGGGAAUGGCAGUGGAUACUGGCAAGCUAGAGUGCGGUAGAGGGGUGUGGAAUUCCCGGUGUAGCGGUGAAAUGCGUAGAGAUCGGGAGGAACACCAGUGGCGAAGGCGGCACCCUGGACCAGCACUGACACUGAGGCACGAAAGCGUGGGGAGCAAACAGG